rnacentral:rRNA from 1 species
CUGGGGGUCCGCAAAAGAAACUUCUAGGCUUGAGGGAAGUAGAGGUACAGGGAAUUUCCGGUGGAGCGGUGAAAUGCGUAGAUAUCGGAAGGAACACCAAUAUGGCGAAGGCACUGUACUGGGCUUUACCUGACGCUAAGAGACGAAAGCUAAAGGAGUGAUUAGGAUUAGAUACCCUAGUAAUUUUAGCCGUAAACGAUGGAAACUCACUGCCGAGCCGGUAUUCGGAGCGGUGGUCAAGCUAACGCGUGAAGUUUCCCGCCUGGGGACUACGCAUGCAAAUGUGAAACUCAAAGGAAUUGACGGGGACCCGCACAAGCGGUGGAGUAUGUGGUUUAAUUCGAUGCAACGCGAAAAACCUUACCAAGGUUUGAAAUCAUUUCAAAACUCUUUGAAAGAAGAGCCUCCUUCGGGAUGGAAUGACAGGUGGUGCAUGGCUGUCGUCAGCUCGUGUUGUGAAAUGUCAAGUUAAGUCUUGUAACGAGCGCAACCCAUGUCUUUUGUUGCUGUUUACAGUGCUUAAAAGAGACUGCCGCUCUACAGCGGAGGAAGGUGUGGAUGAUGUCAAGUCAGCAUGCCCCUUAUAUCUUGGGCUACACACGUACUACAAUGGUAGGGACAAUGAGUCGCAAACCUGCGAAGGCUAGCCAAUCUCAAAAACCCUAUCUCAGUUCGGAUUGUACUCUGCAACUCGAGUGCAUGAAGGUGGAAUCGCUAGUAAUCGCUGGUCAGCAUACAGCGGUGAAUACGUUCCCGGGUCUUGUACACACUGCCCGUCACACCAUGGAAGUCGAUCCUUCCCUAAGUCGUUACUCGAACCUUUUAGGACGAGGA